rnacentral:rRNA from 1 species
GAUGAACGCUGGCGGCGUGCCUAAUACAUGCAAGUCGAGCGAACGGACGAGAAGCUUGCUUCUCUGAUGUUAGCGGCGGACGGGUGAGUAACACGUGGAUAACCUACCUAUAAGACUGGGAUAACUUCGGGAAACCGGAGCUAAUACCGGAUAAUAUUAUGAACCGCAUGGUUCAAAAGUGAAAGACGGUCUUGCUGUCACUUAUAGAUGGAUCCGCGCUGCAUUAGCUAGUUGGUAAGGUAACGGCUUACAAAGGCAACGAUGCAUAGCCGACCUGAGAGGGUGAUCGGCCACACUGGAAAUGAGACACGGUCCAGACUCCUACGGGAGGCAGCAGUAGGGAAUCUUCCGCAAUGGGCGAAAGCCUGACGGAGCAACGCCGCGUGAGUGAUGAAGGUCUUCGGAUCGUAAAACUCUGUUAUUAGGGAAGAACAUAUGUGUAAGUAACUGUGCACAUCUUGACGGUACCUAAUCAGAAAGCCAAGGCUAACUACGUG